rnacentral:rRNA from 1 species
GAUGAACGCUGGCGGCGUGCCUAAUACAUGCAAGUCGAGCGAACAGACGAGGAGCUUGCUCCUCUGACGUUAGCGGCGGACGGGUGAGUAACACGUGGAUAACCUACCUAUAAGACUGGGAUAACUUCGGGAAACCGGAGCUAAUACCGGAUAAUAUAUUGAACCGCAUGGUUCAAUAGUAAAGGACGGUUUUGCUGUCACUUAUAGAUGGAUCCGCGCCGCAUUAGCUAGUUGGUAAGGUAACGGCUUACCAAGGCAACGAUGCGUAGCCGACCUGAGAGGGUGAUCGGCCACACUGGAACUGAGACACGGUCCAGACUCCUACGGGAGGCAGCAGUAGGGAAUCUUCCGCAAUGGGCGAAAGCCUGACGGAGCAACGCCGCGUGAGUGAUGAAGGUCUUCGGAUCGUAAAACUCUGUUAUUAGGGAAGAACAAAUGUGUAAGUAACUAUGCACGUCUUGACGGUACCUAAUCAGAAAGCCACGGCUAACUACGUG